UAAGCGGAGGAAAAGAAACUAACAAAGAUUGCCUUAGUAAGGGCGACUGAACCGGCAAAAGCUCAAAAUUGGAAUCGUCAGUUCAAAGAACUAACGAAUUGUAAUCAGGCUCGCCUAAAUACAAAUGUUGACUCAAGUGCAUUGAAAGGCACGCCAGAGAGGGUGAAAGCCCCGUACAGUCUUCGUUUGAGUAAGGGGAGUCACCAAAGAGUCGGGUUGCUUGGAACUGCAGCCCUAAGCGGGAGAUAUGAUUCUUCCAAAGCUAAAUAAGGAUGGGAGACCGAUAGCAAACAAGUACUGUGAAGGAAAGAUGAAAAGGACUUUGAAAAGAGAGUGAAAAGAUCUGAAAUCGUUGAGAAGGAAGCGGUAAAAACUGAUGGUUCUGCUGAUGCGGCGACGAGGUGAACAGCCUUGAAGUUGUUACCAGAGGAACGGGCAAAAUGAGGUUAUGAGGACCAAAAAAGGGUNAAACCGGUCAGGGUCUUCGUAGCCUGAGGGGCUAAUGCGAUUUUGCCAAAAUGGUUUUUACCGUCCCGUCUUGAAACACGGACCAAGGAGUCUAAC
rnacentral:rRNA from 1 species